UUUUUUUUUUGGGUUAAUUACCCAUAUUUCAGUAUACGCACCAUAAAAUAAUAAAUAGACCGACUGCAAUAUUUAUCAAGGCUCAACUUAACCCAACGCAACGCCUUCAUACCAAACUAGUUGGGGAUAAGUAGGCUGUAAUGAAUCUCAUAUGUAGGAGUAAAAGUAAUAAAGGCAGGCAGAAAAUAAGAAAAUAAAAAUAAGAAAAGAACAAAUUAAAAAUAAUAAAAAUAGAUGAAAAAAUAAUUAAAACACAUCCACGUGACAUAUAAAAAUGAAAACAAAGGAAAGAGUGACAAAAAAGGAGAGGGGGUAAAGACAGAAACAGAAAACAAACCCUAGCCUGACAUGCGGAUUGCACUCCUUGACCCACUCUUAUCAAAGGCCACGUGCUCAAUUCCUCGUUUAUAUUCAAUUCAUCAAGUCUAUUUUUACUAAUUCCUCGAAGUAAUUUUUGGCCUAUUCCUCCGUCUUCUAAUAUCUACUCCCUAAUACAAGACUCCUCAUCUCACCACUACAUCUAUAGUGAUGUUGAAUAAGACCACAUACCAUCUCAAAAUCAAUGUUCACUCAUUUCCAGCCCACAUUUUCAGAAUAGCUGGUCUCACUGUCUUCUACAGAACAUUAAAAUUUAUGGAAUGCAGACUUAGAAGCCUCUAAGUGAGGCAAACUAUCAGUGCAAAGUCAUGCAAUAGACCAAGUAAGUAUACAGAUAGACAGUACAUAUCACUAAGAUUGAAUUGGGCCUUGUUAAAGAUGAAGGCAGUUUUUUGAAGUCAGGAUAGUACCAAUAGAUUAGACUGAUCUUAACAAUGAAAAUCAAGAUUUAGCAAGUGCAUGAUAAUAAACAUAUAUUACACGUAACAGAUAUAGUCGCACAUCACUUCUGAGGCAUAUUAUAGUUAACACAGUCAAAAGUAUUCCAUAACUCCAAUCAAGUUGCAAAGGGAUAACUAUAGUUUAGAAACUGCAGCAAAAUAAGGAAUUAGAGGCCAUCAUUAUUUCAUGAAACAGUUAUGAUAACAGAUAGAUGAUCAAUUUGCAAAAACACAUAAUAUACAAAUAGAUUAUUCUUCCAUACUUCCAAAUAUUGUACCCAUAGCAUUUACCUAGUCUAGCAUGUAAGCUAGACAAGCCUAGACUGGUAGAGACUUCAAUAUCUCACGACAGAGCUAGAGGUCAUAAUGUAUCAGUACAAAAUUAUCAGCCAGUGUAAACUGUAAUCUUUCUGGAACACCUUACCUUAGCAAGCAUGCAAGCAGAAUACAAGAAGCAAGUCAUGAAGCGUUCGAUGAAGGCACCAAUAUACCUUUGAAAUGUACAAAUUUAACCACCAAACUCAUACAUACAAUGGUAUAUGCCAAUACUAAACCACCAAGCAGAAACUACGAUAGCAAAGUAGAAUUUAAAGUAUAAACAAUCACCAUUAAUCCUUGACAGAAAUGCAUCAAAUGUACCAAGUUAUCCUUCAAUGUUAGCCAUCUUUAAGAUCAGAACGGAAACUCAAUAACAAAUUUUAAUUCAUUUAGAUGUAGGCUUGAAUGUAGUCUGCAUUCAUUGCAGUUCUCAUUGAUUAUAUCAAAUAUGCAGUGGUAAUAGAAAGCUAUUGUCCAAUCACAUAACAUAAUAUCUCCAAACUGUAGCAUAAAUUUUUGUCAAUAAAAAGACGAUCUUUCAAACAUGCAAUACUAGAACAACAGAAGGGAAGAACUACAGCUCGUCAUAUAUAUCCAAUAACAUUAUCAUUGAAACUAAACUACCAGAUUCCAUAUAAAGCAAACAAUGUAAAGAUAAAUAUUAGCAGUAUACAAUUCCUAACUAAGACCGCAAGACAUGCUUUAUAUUAUAAAAUUUAGGAGUAACAUGUGUCAAAGAUUAGCAACUUACUUCAUUUGGUAGCACAUUUAAUGAACUACACUGCCCUGAAGAAAGCUUUGGGUUUUUCUCAAUACUAAAAGUAUCCUCACCCAACAAAGUACUUGCCUUCCUCUUCUUUCUACCUAUAUUGAUCAUUCCUUUGCUCUUCUUAUCUCGAACUUUCCACACAUUCUUCCUCCUGAAUAACAUCUUCUCAAAUUUCCACGACCCACAGCUCGUGUCAAUUACAGUAACUUCAGUCCGCGAAAAUGCAGAAAGAUCUGCACGACACGUGUCCUCGUCUUCACCAUCCAAUACACCUCCAUUAACUACUUCUACUUGCUCGUUAUUUCCCCUGAUACUGUUAUUGUGGCUCGACGGCGACGGAGCAUUUUCCAUCUGAAAGUUUCCGUUUGAAGGAAGACAAAUUUUAGGGUUUGGCUGUUUGCGAUAACUCUUUUUUCUCGGGAAAUUAUUGUAAUCGCCCAUGAUAAAGAGUUCCGAUAGUACGUUGCUCAUGAUACCAAACCAAUUUUUGUCUCCAUUUUCGGGCCGAAUCUCCGUCAUUUGUUUCCGAUGAAGGACCGGAUUUUGAGCUGGAGUCGAAUUGGUAUUGGGGUUCGGAUCAUUGUGGGUAGAAGUGGGGUCAGCGAAUUUAGUAUCGGAGAGGUAAGGGUUAGGGUGAUUGAGGAAGUGUUCAAGAUUGAGGUCGUGGUCGGCGGGAAUGCCUUUGGAUGAUCGGAGCCGGUCGAGCCAAUUCGAACCGGACUUACCGGUUGACAUUGGACAGAGCAUGUUUGGACUUUGGAAGAGAGAGAAUGAGGAUCGUGACCGUUUGGAAGGGAAGGAUUAUAAUGUAGGGGACAUGGUUACUUCUAUGAUAUCAGGCUAAAAUAUUACAAAAAUGGAAAUGGUCGGCAUUAAUUUUAUUUUUGAGCAUGGUUAAUAGGGUUGAUAUGGAGGUGAGAUUCUAUGUAUGUCAAUAUUCUAUUGACUAGUUGACUAAUUUAUUAAAAAAUAAACUUCAUGCUAACCGAAUUCUACAAAAAUAUUAAUUUUCUCUAAUAUAUUUUAUAAUUUAACUACUAUAAUUUACACAUAAAAAUAAAAAUAUAUUAAAUUUAUUUUUAAUAGUCUCACAAAAUUAUAUAAAUUAUAAAGCGAUGAAUAUUCUUAAAUUUUAUAUUAAUAUACCUUAUUAAAUGACUUAGUUAGUUUUCAUUUUAUUUAUUAUAAAAAUAUUUGUAAUUUUAGUUAUUUUUAAAAAAACCGGAAGUAAAUAUUUACAUCAAGUGCUUACGUACGUUGUUGAUCCAUGUACGAUCUGUUUGGCUUACAGCCUUAUCUGAUGCUGGUUUAUGUUUUGAGUUUAAAACUCUGUUUGGUAGGUGGGGAAAGGAAAGGAAAGGAAAGGGAGACUAAUAUUUUUACAAAGUUCAAAUAAUUGGAGUAUUGCGUUUGAUUGAGAAAAAAACCUUGUGAAAACACCAUCCCAUUUUCAUUACACUAUGUCUAGAUUCAUUUUUUAUAAAUUUUAAUAUUGUACUAUGAGCAUGUAAUGUUAUUUUUAAAUUGAAAUCGUGUAUAUUUAAUUGUUGACGGUAGUGAAUAGUGUAAUAGAAUAAAUAGAUUUCAUUUAUGAUUCCACCAUAAUUUUCGUCAAAAGAAUUGAAAGAAUUUUCAUUACAUCAAAAUAGUUUAUCCGUUAAAAUAAUCACUAAAUAUAUUGUUUUUUAUGAGAAUGUAAUGUUAUUUUUAGAUUGAAAUAUUGAAUGUAUAUUUAGGAAUAGUAGUUGUUAACGCCAGGAUCUUUCUCCACGUCUCAAUCACGUAAGACGUCCUGAUCCUGCACAGUAAACACAGUCAACAUCGAAAGCUUGACGGCGGUUCCGUCGGGGGAUAGCUCAGGCGUGAGAAUUAGUACGUGUUCACAAGGUUAACNNNNNNNNNNNNNNNNNNNNNNNNNNNNNNNNNNNNNNNNNNNNNNNNNNNNNNNNNNNNNNNNNNNNNNNNNNNNNNNNNNNNNNNNNNNNNNNNNNNNNNNNNNNNNNNNNNNNNNNNNNNNNNNNNNNNNNNNNNNNNNNNNNNNNNNNNNNNNNNNNNNNNNNNNNNNNNNNNNNNNNNNNNNNNNNNNNNNNNNNNNNNNNNNNNNNNNNNNNNNNNNNNNNNNNNNNNNNNNNNNNNNNNNNNNNNNNNNNNNNNNNNNNNNNNNNNNNNNNNNNNNNNNNNNNNNNNNNNNNNNNNNNNNNNNNNNNNNNNNNNNNNNNNNNNNNNNNNNNNNNNNNNNNNNNNNNNNNNNNNNNNNNNNNNNNNNNNNNNNNNNNNNNNGAGAAGAUAAUGGAGGCCCAAAUCAGAAAAACCCUAUUUAAUAGAUACAUGGACCUGGAACCGGACCCUUCCCAUUCAAAUUCCAAAUCAUCAAUAGCAUUUAAUGAGCCGGCCUUGAACACCGUGUAACCGUCAGUAUAAAAGGUAACUUUAUCAACUUUGACAGUUUUAUCUGCUCAUUUGAAUUUCGAGCGCCUUCUGAACUCUCUGACUUUCUGAACUUUCUCCUUUCUUUCGCAACUAAUCAACAAUGGCUUCCCAGGAUGCUGCACAAGGCUCUCCCAUAUUGGUAACCCCACUCACAGCCGUUCCACCAAACCCUACUACUGUUGCUCAUGAAGGAGCCUCGACAUUGAACCCAAAGGGGUCGAAAUCUGAUAAGAACCCUCUCCCCAUAAAUCCCAAGACCUCCUCCGAAUACUACAGGAAUACUGAGCGAUUCUCGCACGCCAACACUCCCUCGAUCGUCAUAGAGGCUGAACUGAAGAGGAUUCGGUCUCGAUACCACAUCCCGGAUACCCACGCAACUAGGGUUCCUAGAUCCGGUGAGAGGAUGUACCAACGGCCAGAAGGUUGGACGGUCGUUCCUGUGACUCUAUUGGAGAAGGGGGUUCAUUUCCCUUUGCAUAUCUUCAUAGUAACCCUGCUGGGGUUUCUGGGGGUGGGGUUCGCUCAACUAGUACCGAACUCGUACAUUCACAUCUUGGCCUUCGUGGCCUUCUUCCAUGAAUUGGGCGUGGAGCCCUCCCUGGACUCCUUCUUCACGAUAUACAAAAUAGUACAAUUUAGGGAGAAGGGGUUCAAGGCCAUUAGCAAACAUUCUCCGAAGUCAGGAGAGAAGUUCGAGAGGCGUUCGCUGGUGAACACGCCUUCGAGCAACAGGGGCUGGCAUGAAAAAUGGUUCUACGUCAAAGGCCCCGAAAUCUCUUCACUACCGAACUGGGCCACUGACGAGAAGAUCUCUGCUGAUUAUCUACGGCCACAUACUGCACCAACAAGCCAUCUUUAAUCUUCCUCUCCACAAAGUCUUUCAAAUUGCAACAUUCGUUAGUGUCGUGGCCAGCGGCCUGAUGAUAGCCACAAUACUUACGAGAGUUACCCUGCCCAGUUCGGUAGUUAUCACGGGGUGGCUCAAAGAAAGGUUGAUUUCUGAUUUGAUCCAGAAUUAUCGAUCUAUCAGUGUUUAGUUUGGUGUAGAUCUUAUUCACCUUCGGGGCCGGAACGGAGGGAUGACUGCUUCCUUGCCGCCAGGAAUUAUUGUACUUUUUCGAACUGCCCUCUGUCCGAUCAUUAUACCCCCCCGUUAUCCUCUGUUCAACUUUGGGCUUAGGAGCUACUGACUCUUUCCCCUGACCCGAAGGAGGAUGCUUCAGGCUGUUCAUAGCUUCUUCCACAACGAUGUAGCCUUCUGCUUUGUCAAAGGCUUCGGCCAAGCUCUUCGGAUGAUUGAACAUCAACUUCUUCACCAACUUUUCGGACUUUACCAGAUCCAAUCCAUUCUGGAACAAACCUACAGCCUGGAGAUCAUUAAGAUCGGACACCUGACCGACUGCUUCUCUGAACCUCUUUACAUACUGGCCCAAAGAUUCGCUGGUAAACUGCCGGAUCUGUGCCAAAGAACCCGUAGGCUUUCCUCUUCUUCGGUUGCUCCCGAAACGGGCAUGGAACUUAUCACAAAGUUCGGUCCACGAGGAUAUGGAAUCUGAAGGCAAAGUUCCCAACCACUGUCUCGCAUCUUUUCUUAGCGUCGUAACAAAGGUGUGGCACUUGGCAGCGUCAGUGAAGUCGUAAUAGUCCAUUAGCCGGUCGAACGCCUGGCUAUGGUCAUAAGGAUCCCCGGUUCCAUCGUAACUUUCCAUGCGAGGCAAUUUUUUAGUGAUAUCCGCCUUUUCCUUGAGAAUAUCUGAGGAAAAAGGGGAUGCUUUCUUUCCCGGAGCGUCCUUCACCUGCUGGACCUCAGCCAGUUGCUUUCUGAGCUCUUUAAGCUCCUUCACUAGAAAAUCAACGCCUUCAGGCUAUGGGGAAACCUCUUUCUCGUGAACAACAUUAUGUCUCUGAGAGGAUCGACCUCUUCUUGCCGAUCCUACUGCCCUAGAGGGACUUCUUGAUCUGCUUCGGUACACAACUCUUUCCUUGUGGUGAGAAUGAUCACGUUGAUAGUCCAUUACCCUGACUUCGGGUACGACCUCCUUCGACCUGCUCCUUUGUUGAUAACCAUCUCGAUGCUGAGAGGUAGCGGCCAUUAUCGCCUUCUUCGAGGCCAUGGGAGUUCUGCUUCUCGAUCUCCUCCUACUUCGAGAAUGAUCCUUAGAAACACACAUGGAACGCUUCGGCUCCUUAACCUUUCGUCGCGUCUCCUCCUUAUGCCCACUUCGUCCUUCGUAUUGAUCAUGGCUAGAUGCUUCGUCCUGCAAUUCCGCCACCCGAAGCAUCUGUUCGGCUAUAUCUUCUCUUUGCUUUAACAGGACCGCCAUGGCUCUAUCUGCUUCGUCCGCCAUCUUNNNNNNNNNNNNNNNNNNNNNNNNNNNNNNNNNNNNNNNNNNNNNNNNNNNNNNNNNNNNNNNNNNNNNNNNNNNNNNNNNNNNNNNNNNNNNNNNNNNNNNNNNNNNNNNNNNNNNNNNNNNNNNNNNNNNNNNNNNNNNNNNNNNNNNNNNNNNNNNNNNNNNNNNNNNNNNNNNNNNNNNNNNNNNNNNNNNNNNNNNNNNNNNNNNNNNNNNNNNNNNNNNNNNNNNNNNNNNNNNNNNNNNNNNNNNNNNNNNNNNNNNNNNNNNNNNNNNNNNNNNNNNNNNNNNNNNNNNNNNNNNNNNNNNNNNNNNNNNNNNNNNNNNNNNNNNNNNNNNNNNNNNNNNNNNNNNNNNNNNNNNNNNNNNNNNNNNNNNNNNNNNNNNNNNNNNNNNNNNNNNNNNNNNNNNNNNNNNNNNNNNNNNNNNNNNNNNNNNNNNNNNNNNNNNNNNNNNNNNNNNNNNNNNNNNNNNNNNNNNNNNNNNNNNNNNNNNNNNNNNNNNNNNNNNNNNNNNNNNNNNNNNNNNNNNNNNNNNNNNNNNNNNNNNNNNNNNNNNNNNNNNNNNNNNNNNNNNNNNNNNNNNNNNNNNNNNNNNNNNNNNNNNNNNNNNNNNNNNNNNNNNNNNNNNNNNNNNNNNNNNNNNNNNNNNNNNNNNNNNNNNNNNNNNNNNNNNNNNNNNNNNNNNNNNNNNNNNNNNNNNNNNNNNNNNNNNNNNNNNNNNNNNNNNNNNNNNNNNNNNNNNNNNNNNNNNNNNNNNNNNNNNNNNNNNNNNNNNNNNNNNNNNNNNNNNNNNNNNNNNNNNNNNNNNNNNNNNNNNNNNNNNNNNNNNNNNNNNNNNNNNNNNNNNNNNNNNNNNNNNNNNNNNNNNNNNNNNNNNNNNNNNNNNNNNNNNNNNNNNNNNNAUAUAUAUAUAUAUAUAUAUAUAUAUAUAUAUAUAUAUAUCGAUUGGAAUCACUUGUAAAACUCAAGAUUAUAUAAUAAAAUAUAGUAAAUGCAUUUGUUGAGUCAAUGAAUAAAGUACUUCACUUCAUAAAUUCUUGCAUAUAACUGACUUAAUUGUAAUGUAAGUAUAUAAUUAUUAUGUUCAUGAUUAAUUCACCAAUGACUCAUUUGAAUUUAAAUUAAACAAGUUGGACUUUGAACUUCAAAUGAAGUUCAUUAAUUUACCUUGAAUUAAAAAUAAUAAUAGAGACUAAUGGUGAAAAUUUUAGUCGUAAAAAGCAUAAUCUUUAUAGUGUAGUGCAGGGUUAUAGUUUUAAGUUGGUCUUCUCAUAAAAAAUCAACACUACAUGAUUACAUAGCAAAUAUAAAUUUACCCCAAGUUUUAUUUAGUUCCUUACCUAGUCCCUCCCCAGUCCCCGCCAAGCCUUCAAAAUUGAAUGUAUUAGUAUUAUACAUUUUUUCUAGGAGAAUUAUUUUUUGAAUAAUUUAAUAGGCAUUAAGGUCUAUGACAAUUUGAAAAAGUUAAAUCAAAACUAAUAUACUCUCUAUUUAUGUGUAUAUGCGUUGGACGUGAUCCAUAAUCACAUGUAAAUACAGUCAUGUUUUUUUAGUCCCCUCAUUUUAUAUUAAUAAAAAGUAUUUCAUUAUGCAUUUAAGACAUUUUAAACUUUAAAUUAACAUAUAGUCAAAUAUUUUAGUCAACAUAAAAAAUGAAUAUUAUAAUAUAUCACAAAAUAGUAUUGAUUAUCUUAAUUUUAAAUAAAUAUCAUAAUUGUGAGUUUAAUUAUUUAUUUUUUAAUUCAAUAAUAAUUUUAUAUUUUGCAACAGAUAAAGUAUAUAAAAUAAAUAAUACUCCAUUAUUUUAGUGUCAUCUAUAAAUUCAGUUUGGUAUAUACUUGAACCAAACCAAAGCGACAAUUUAACUAUUUAAGUUUAUAGAAAAAUUAUAUCCAAACUAAACCAAUUAAUUUGUGUAAAAAUAUCGAAAAAUAAAAAUAAAAGGUUUGGUUUAAAAUUCAGUUUUAUGAAGAUUCGUAGCCGGCUGUAAGCUGUUACACGCACGCUAGAUAUUGAAAAGAAGCAUAUGCCAAUUAUCAAAAAAGAAAUAAUAAUAAUAAUAAUAAUAAAAAGCAUAUGCCAGGAAGGUCAAAAUCUGAUACGUACGUGACGAGGAACCGCGGCGACCACAAGACAAAGUACCAUAACAACCCAACAAACAAAGCUCAGCCGUAAUUUGAAUUUAGGAUUAAGACCACCGACUGACGUACGGUGGAAUUAGGAACGCUCAUGUCUCAUCAUCCUUGUUUAGGAAGCCUACUAGUAAAUUUUUAAUUUGUUUUUCCCCCCCUUAAAUCACCACCACAAGGACUCCUAUCUAUGGCUUUAGCCAAUAGCCAUUGGCGGUGGUGAUACUUAGCAUAAAUCAACCUUCCUCCACCUCCUCCUCCCCCUUUCCAUUUCUCAAACAAACACAUCUUUUUCCUUUUCUUUUAUUUAUUUAUUUUAUUUUAUCUUUCUUUUCGAAAAUAUCCGCUAAGUUUUAAGAAAGGUUUCGUCUUGGGUUUUUCUUUCCCACCCAUCAAUUUCACGCUAUUCUUGAUUCUGUUACAUUUGUUUCUGGGUUUGGAGGGACUCUGACCUUAUUAUUAAUUAUGGCUAUGGCUCUGGUGGAGGCUUUUUUGGAGAUAUUGGACAUACCCACAAUUGCUACAGUUAUUGCCUUUCUUCUUGGGGUUAUGGUUAGUUGGUCUUGGAAACCCAGAUGGGGUAGCUUGGGCAAUUGCAAAUUCCAGCUUUCUGCACCUUCAUCUCCUUCUGCCUUGGUUUCUCCCCCCUUGAAGAACAAGGGUUUUGGUACUGCUCAGAGCGUUGAGUCCCUCAAAGUUGGGACCCCAAGUUUUGGCUCUUGUAUCAUGGAUAGUGGGUCGGAUAAAGACCAAAUCUUUACACAGCCUUCUAUGGAAAAUCCCAAUUGCAGGUAAUUGUAAUUCUUCUUGUUUUGUGUGUUUUCAUUUGAUAAUUCUUCCCAAUUCAUACUGUUAACGCCAAGAUUUUCUCCAACGUCCCAAUCACGUAAGACGCCUUGAUCCUGCACACUAAACACAGUCAACACCAAAAGCUUGACGGCUUCGACAGUCGGGGGAUAGCUCAGGCGUGAGAGUCAGUACAGGCAGUUACAAGGGUUAACAAUGGAGGAUAAAAAAUGUCUAGUCUUGAGAGAUAAAAAUUAUCAGUUGAAUGUGUGUACCUUUUUCUUGAAGACUUCCUUGUUAGGUUAUACUCUCUUACCCGGUUUACCGUGCCACCUACUACCGUCUGACACAUCCCCCCACUCUUCAGUGAUCUCUGCCGACUGCAUGCAGGUUGUCACCUUUUUUCUCCACUGUGCAUACCGCCGGCCGGCUAUAAUCCCAUCCACAUUAAUGAUCUGCAGACUUUUGGUCAACAGUCAUCUUUUUUAAUCAUUACAAGUCAAAGAUAGAGAUAUUAAAAGAUCUAGUGGGUCAACCCAUUGAUCCCUGUAAGGACUUAACAGGAAUAAGAUGAUGACUAGGCCCGAUAACUUAAAGACUCAAUAGUGAAGACCCAAUGGACUAAUUAAAUAAAUAGGCCCAAUCCAUUCGGCCCAAUAGGAGAAAUAUCAUGUCCCAACAUUGCCCCCUAGUUUUUUAUUAAAUAAGAUAUUUAAUAGAAAACUAUAAGUGGUCCGUGACUUUAUAGGAUUUGAUUGGAUUGAAAUAAGUCCAAACUGAAAUUUACCAAAGCCCAAACGGCGGAGAGUUAAAGUAAAGAGAUGAACUGAGACAGGAAGUUCAAUUGAAAGGCCCAAUUUGACAAAUAUUUGAGGAUUAACAUGGACGCUUUCCAUUCAACUUCUCCAUCAUUGUCAGAAAUUAAAUGUGCCGCCUUCGUAACUCGUAUAACCGUCAGUAUAAAAAGUAAUUUUUGCCCAAAUUGACAUUUUUACUUGUCAAUUUGAAUUUUGAACCUUUGAGUCCUUCCCUUCUUUCUCAAACUUCCUUCUCAGUUUUGCAAAAUCUCAACAAUGGUGACUCUGAAUUCGAACCAGAACUCUCCCCUUCGUGUAACCCCUAUCGCCACCGUUCCUUCAAGCCCCAAACCUAAUGAAGAAGCAUCGAGCUCAAACCCCAAGACUGCCACCCCUACCGAAAAAUCUGUGCCUCCGAAACCCGUGCCUGAACCCUCCGAUUUCUUCAAAAACAAAGAACAAUAUCUCCAUGCCAACACACCCUCCAUCAUUUCUGAGACCGAGUUAAGGAGGAUUAAGGCUCGGUAUCACAUCCCUGAUACCCACUUAAUAAGAACCCCCAAAUCUGAAGAGAAGAUGUACCAACGCCCGGAUGGUUAAACGGCUGUUCCGGUGACCCUACUUGAAAAGGGGGUUAGGUUUCCUCUUCAUGUCUUUCUGGUUACCCUCCUAGGGUUUAUUGGGGUAGGGUUUGCUCAACUGGUGCCAAACUCCUACAUUCACAUUUUGGCUUUUAUCGCAUUCUGUCAUGAAUUAGGGGUCGAACCCACUCUCGACUUCUUCUUUACUGUAUACAAGAUUGCCCAAACCAGAGAAAGGGGUUCAAAGUUCUGGGUAAGCACGCACACAAGGUUGGUGAGAAGUUCGAGAGGCGGUCGUUGAUAAAUACUUCUUCGAGCAACAGAGGAUGGCAUGAGAGAUGGUUUUUCGUCAGGGACCAGAAAUCGCCUCUUUACCGAAUUGGGCGACUGAUGAAAAGAUUUCUGCUAACUUCGGCGAUAUUCCCGAAGAACGUGUAGCUGAAAUGAUCGAAUUUUUGAAUAAUUUCCCGAAGGAGGAGUGGAAACACGGACUUCUUUCCAAACAGGCAUGGCUGUAUGAUCAUAAACGUAAGUAUCGAACUAUUUUCGUGCAUAUUUCUGUGAAACCUUUGAUAAUAUUGGUUUUGAUUUGUCGUUGCACAAUCUUUGCAGUGUCCUUAAUUAGACCGAACUCUUCAGAGGUGAAAGAGCUUGAAGACUUUUUGGCUGGGAAGACUACAGAUGCGAAUGAAGAGUUUCCCCCAGAAGGAUCUCCUCAGGCCGAUCCUCUCACCACUGAAACACCCAUCGUCAACCCUCAGAUUAACGAACCACAAACUGAUGAGCCCAUUAUUCCUGAAGAAUCCCUCAAACCCCGACGAAGAAAAAGAGCUACUGGGAGAUCUAAAUCCAUCCGCCCAGAUAUAGACCCUGAGAUAGAUCCAGAAACAAAUCUAGAAGCAAACCCAGAAGCAAGCCCUUCAUCCAAUCCCACUUCUGUACCUCCUGAAUCCGCUCCAACCAAGAGAAGUCUGUUUGACAUACCUCUGCACGAACGAAAGUCCUUCGUGUCAAGAAGUUGAGAACAAAGGUUACCCCCUUGACUGUUGAGGAACUUCGAGUUCCCACAUCUUCGAUCAAUAAUCCACCAGCGAUCCCCAUGGAAACUCAAGUGCCGGACGUUGACGAACCAAUCGAAUUUACUCCUUCAAUCUCUCGUAAGAGAAAACAACCGUCUGAUAGUCACCCAGGUUCAUCAUCCGUUCCUUCACCGGUUCGCGAACCUAUUCCUGCCCGAUCACCUUCUCCUGAAAACAUAUAUAUGGAUCCAUCACCAACCCACGAUCAACCCAUUCCUUCCCCUCCAAGACAAUCACCUUCCGAAUUUCAACGUGAGGCUAUGGCCUCUCCAACCAUGUGGCCUCAGUUUAAUGCCAACUUCCCCUUUCGACUGUUUGAUGCCUUCGUCUGUGAGACCGAUGAUCAUCGAUUUGGUAAUAGUUCGAACAUGGAUCUGCUUAAGGAAGGCAUGAGCUAUCUGGCGAAGGUAAAUGGUUUUCUCUUUAAUUUCCGUGUUUAUCUUUAUACUUAGAUAUUUGAAAUUGAUCAAAUAAUGCUGAAUCAUGUGUAGGCGAAUGCUGUAUUUGGACGUCUAGGUCCAAAGUCUAUUGAAGCUGAAGCCGAAGAAGAGGCAAUGAGAAAAGAGAACGCCAUCUUGAAGUCGGCUUUGGCUCGGGAAAGAACUCAACGUGAAGGCGUUCUUCACACUAAUGAAGGUCUUCGAAAUGAGUUGACUCAAACUAAGGAAGAGGUGAAAACUUCCAAUGAAGAAUUGAAGUUAUCUAAGGCCAACCACCAAGAGGUUGUUAAGAUGAAUGCUGACCUGGUUCAACGGAAUGAACUGAGGAUGGAGAAAGUUAAAGAGCUAAAGGCCAGCAAUAAGAUUCUGGCCAAAUCGAUCGAAAAGCUGGAGUUACAAGAGACUCGUCAUCUGCAUAGGCGUCAGAAGCUCGAAGAAGAGAUCAGGGAACUCCGGGCUCUUCGGGAUUUGGGACCCCCCUUGACCGAUGAUCUCCGUAGGCAAAUCUGCGAAGAGUAUUGGAAAUCAGAUGAGAUCAACGGGGAAAUUAUGAAGAUAUAUUCUGAAGGCUAUGAGCUCUGUCGAAGUCGCGGCAAGGAGAAGCUGAUUGCAGCUAACGUGGAUCCGUCCCUGCUCGACUCUUCAGAUGGAGAAGAUGAUGCCUGAUAUGUUACUGCUUCAUUCUGACUUUUCAAGAUUUCUGUGAAAAUUAUCUGUCUCUCUGGGGUUUAUUUUUAAGAACUUUAUUAAAAAGAUUUUAAUUUUAUGUAAUGGUUUGAUAUUAUAGUUGGAUGGAUGAACGAAUCUUCAAAUUUAUUUGUCAUGGCUUCUGUUUUGAUUCGUUUGUUGUCAAUAAUUCAAUAUCAAUGGUUUUGAAUGAACUUAACUUAGACUGUGAAUCGGAUAAGGCAUAUAACAGUUAAGUUAAGAAACGAAAUGAACUGAAUUUAAUGAACUGAACUGAAUGAACCGAACUCAACACUUGAACAAAAUAAAGUAGUGCAUACUUAUCGUUUCCGAAGUGUGAGACAGAUUAGGCAUAAGGUGAAUUCGGUUGAUCCUCCUUGCACCAUUGGGAUCUUGUUUACCACUCGGGGUGAAACAAGUAUAUAUGGACAUUUGUAUACCAUGCGGAGUAUAACAAACAUAUAAGGACAUCUGUCUACCAUGCGAGGUAGAACAAAUAUAUAAGGACAUUUGUCUACCAUGCGGGGUAGAACAAAUAUAUAAGGACACUCCUGACAAAAAGGCUACCAUCGAAUGACCAGCGAGUCCGACCAUACCUCCUUACUUCGGUGCAUAUUGAUUUACCACUCGCGGUAAAAACAAUAUUAAAAGGACCAUGGAAUUUGUCUACCACUCGCGGCAAAUCAAAUCCAUAAGGACACUCCUACCGAAAAGGCUACUAUCGAAUGGCCAGCGAGUCCACCCCGUCUUCCUUACACCGAUGAAGUUUUCCUACCCCGAAAGGCCUGACAAAUUCAUAAGGACCACCUGCCAAAAAGGCUACCAUCGAAUGGUCAGCGAGUCCCCCCGUCCUCCUUACACCAUUGUGAACUUAGGACAAAUAGGACGAAGAUCAAUUGUGAAAAAGUGAAUCUUUUAUUGAUGAUGAACAACUAUGUACAGACUUUCGAUAAACUGACUCGAUCUCUAUUGGAAAUAUUUCCGAAGCCUGCCAGCAUGCCAAGUGUUCUUGAUCUCGGAUCCGUCUAAUGCCUUCAGUCGGUAAGUUCCUGGCUUUGGUACUUCGAUCACCUCAUAGGGUCCUUCCCAGUUUGGCAUCAGUUUUCCCAUGUUCUGAGGUGUAGACACUUCGACUUCUCUGAGGACGAAGUCUCCCACUUCAAAUCUACGAAGCUUUACCCCUUUAUUGUAAUGCUUGGCAACUCUCCGCUGGUAGGCUGCUAAUUUGAUCAAAGCCACCUCUCUGACUUCUUCCAACAGAUCUAAGUUGGUCCUUAGUCCUUCAUCAUUAUAGAUUUCUUUGAACUGACUAACCCGAAGACUUGGAGAUCCAAUCUCGACUGGGACUAAGGCAUCAGUACUAUAGGCCAAUCUGAAAGGUGAAUCCCCUGUUGUAGUCCUCGGUGUAGUCCGGUAAGCUCACAAUACACUGAGCAGCUCCUCUGGCCAUCUUCCCUUAGCUUCGUCCAGUCUGCGCUUGAUCCAGUUUAGAAGUGUUCUGUUGGUCACCUCAACUUGCCCAUUCGACUGUGGAUGAGCCACCGAAGUCUUCCUGUGUUGAAUCCCCAACUCUUUCAGAAAUCCUUCAAAUUUUGAUCCCACGAACUGGCGCCCGUUGUCCGAUAUUACUACUUUAGGAAUUCCAAAACGAAACAUUACGGACUCUUUCAUGAACUUCAAACACUCCUGUUUCGUUAUCAACCAAAGUGGCUUCGCUUCUACCCAUUUGGUCAUGUAAUCGAUAGCAACUAUGACAAAACUGACCUGACCUUUAGCUUUCGGUAACGGACCUAAUAUAUCUACCCCCCAGACAGCAAAGGGUAUAGGAGAUAAAAUUGAGUAUAGCUCUUCUGGUGGCUGAUGCGGGAUCGGGCUGUUGAGCUGGUACUUCGCGCAUUUCUUCACAUAUUCUGUAGCUUCCUUGAAGAUCGUAGGCCAGUAGUACCCCUGCCGAAGUACUUUAUAAGCCAAAGACUUAGCGGCCAUAUGGUCACCGCAAAUACCCUCGUGAACCUCCCGAAGAGCAUACUCAGCCUCAGAUGGAACCAGACAUUUCAACAAUGGUGACGAAAAUGCCAAUCGAUAAAGGUCCCCAUCAAUAAGAACGAAAUUAGCACUCUUAUACUUGAUCUUUUUUGCCAGCAUCUGGUCCAAAGGAAGGACGCCAUUUGCCAGAUAUUCAAUGUACGGAGUCAUCCAACAGUUAGAUCGCUCAAUACACAUUACCGCUACGUGCUGGAUGCUCGGCUGCUGCAAAACCUCCAAAUAAACUGACCCGUUGAAAACAACAGCAUCCGUAGUGGCCAGCUUCGACAAUGCAUCGGCAAUGGAAUUGUCGUUACAUUCUAUGCCCUGAAACUCAUAGGAAGGAAAAUACUGAAGUCGGUCCUUCAACUCUGCCAAAUACUUGAUCAUCCUCGUCCCACGAGCUUCAUACUCUCCCGAUAGUUGCUUGACGACCUGUUGAGAGUCACUGUAGAUGAUCAACUUCUGAACUUCUAAACUUUUUGCUAGUCGGACUCCCGCCAACAUUGCCUCGUAUUCAGCCUCGUUGUUCGUUGCUCUGAACCCAAAUCUGAUGGCCUACUGCACCUUGAAUCCCUCCGAACUUGUCAAAAUAAUUCCUGCCCCGCUGACAUCUGCGGUAGAAGAUCCAUCUGCAUACAACGUCCAUGAAUUCUGACUGUGCUGAAGAACUGCAACUGCUCGAUCGGAUGUCUCAGCUUCUGGCAACUCAGCAUCUGCUUCGGAGAAUGAACACUCCACCAUGAAAUCGGCCAAGGCUUGACCUUUGAUAGCAGUUCGGGGAUGAUAUUCAAUAAAAAAUUGUGAUAAUUCCAUAGUCCAUGCUGCUAAUCUCCCCGAAACUUCUGGCUUGCUCAUCACCUUCUUCAGUGGUUUAUCCGUGUAGACAACUAGGAGCCGACCUUGAAAAUAUUGCCGAAGCUUUUGACUAACAAUUAUUAAAGCGAAGGCAAAUUUUUCGAUAUUUGGGAACCUGGUUUCAACAUCUCUUAAGACGCGACUGGCAUAAUAAAUCGAAUGUUGCUUCCCGCUGACCUCCCGAACUAGCACUGCUCCAACUGCCAACGAGCUAGCUGCUAGAUAUAAAUACAAGGUCUCAUCCGGAGCAGGUUUCACCAAUAAAGGAGCCGAAGACAAAUAUGUCUUUAUGCCUUGGAAGGCAUCUUCACACUCCGAAGUUCACUGGAAUGUCUUCGCAUUCUUCGGUCCCUUUAGUGUGUCGAAGAAUGGCAAGCAUCUCUCUGCAGAUUUGGACAUGAACCUCCUCAAAGCUGCAAUCCUACCAGUCAGACGUUGAACGUCUUUGAAUGACUGAGGAGUCUUCAUGUCUAUGAUGGCCUGAAUCUUUUCUGGAUUGGCCUUGAUGCCCCUUUGACUGACCAGGUAACCCAGGAACUUCCCUGCACCGAGUCCGAAGGUACACUUUGUAGGAUUGAGCCUUAAUUUGUGGUGGCGGACUGUCUGAAAGCAUUCCUCUAGAUCAUCCAAAUGCUUCUGAACAAGCAUGCUUUUCACGAUCAUGUCAUCCACAUACACCUCCACGUUCCUUCCCAGUUGCUUCUGGAAGACAAAGUUCAUCAUUCUCUGGUAAGUGGCUCCAGCAUUUAUCAGGCCGAAGGUCAUCUUCUUGUAGGCGUACCGAACGGUGUGUGAUGAAUGCUGUCUUUGGAAUGUCUUCUUUGCACAUAGAAAUUUGAUGAUAACCUGAAAAAGCAUCCAUAAAGCUUAGUAGUGCAUACCCCGAAGUCGCAUCAAUAAGUUGAUCAAUGUGGGGUAAAGGAUAGAAGUCCUUUGGGCAUGCUUUGUUCAGGUCUGUGUAGUCGAUGCAGACUCGCCAUUUCCCGUUCUGCUUCUGCACCAGUACUAUAUUUUCCAUCCACUCCGGAUAGUCGAUCUCGAAGAUGAAGUCAGCAGCUAUCAGCUUCGCGAUCUCCUCAUCAAUGAUCCUUUGACGCUCAGGUGCAAAGAUCCGCCUUUUCUGCCGAACUGGCUUCUUUGAUGGAUCCACAUUCAGCCGAUGUUCGGCAAUCUUUCGGCUGAUCCCAGGCAUGUCUUGUGGUUCCCAUGCAAAAAUGUCCGCAUAACAGCGAAGAAGUUCUAUAAGGUUUGUCCGGAGAGGUUCCGGCAAACCCGAACCAAUCUUCUCUAUUUUGUCUUUCUUCCCAAAGACUAGCUUGAUCUCCUCUGUCUCUCCUGCAGGGACAACCAAUGGCUCCGAACUGCUUUCAGUGAAGGGCUCGAUCUCAAUUGUCAUGGUUUGCUUCUGUUUGCUGACCCCUACUCCCGAGGAGAUGACAGCGUUCCGAUAACAGCGCCGGGCCAGAUCCAAGUUCCCUGCCACCUUUCCAACUCCGUGUGCAGUGGGGAACUUGAUCUUGAAGUGAGGGAUGAAAGUCACAGCUUGGAGAGCUAUUAGUGUAGGUCUUCCCAGUAUGGCGUUGUAGGUCGAAUCUACAUGCACAACAUAAAAUUUACAGGUUAUUUCUACCUGCUGAGGAGCUGUGCCGAAGACCACUGGUAGUUCAAUAGUGCCUGUAACUUUGACUGGAUCGUUGCUAAAACCAUAUAGGGGAGCCUCCUGCCCAACCUCCAUCUUUCACCCAUCAAGAUGUAUCAUCUGAUAAGCAUGAGCAUAUAAAAUAUCCACCGAAGAUCCGUUGUCUAUCAUCAUGCGCUUCACAUCUACUGAACCCACUUGUGCCGUGAUCACCAAUGCUCCUUCAUGGGGUUCGAUGGGUUCCGAAGGAUAAUCUACAUCAUUGAAAGUUAUAACUGUCCCUAGAAACGGUCUGUCGAUCUUCGGGGGAACCUCCGCCACGGACAUGACUGAAUCCAGAUAUCCCCUCCUCUUCUUUCCUACCAACUUCCCUGCUGUCCCACCGAUUAUUACGUCAACGACAUGCCUUGGUGGUUGAUUCGGAGCAGACUGCACGGGGGGAGCCGUUUGAACUGUCUGAACGAUACAGUCAACAUUCUGUUGCUCUUGUUGGUCCCUCCCGACCACAUAUUGAACCAGCAAGCCACUUUGAACCUUCCUCUCCACAAAAUCUUUCAAAUUGCAACAUUCAUUAGUGUCGUGACCUGUAGCCUGAUGAUAGCCACAAUAUUUUCGAGCGUUGCCCUGUCCUGGCUUAAAGUUAUCACGAGGUGGUUCAAAGAACGGCUGGCCCCUGAUAUGAUCCAGAAUCACCGACCUAUCCGUAUUCAGUUUGGUGUAAACCUUAUUCACCUUCUGAGCGGGAGCAGGUGGACGAUUACUUCAUUGUCUCCAUGUGUGGUUGUACUUCUUCGAGCUGCCCUCUGACCGAUCAUUAUACCCCCUGCCUUCUUCUGAUUGCCUUCAACUUUAGGAGUAUCUGCCUCCUUUAUUCGAUCCGAAGGACGUUUCAGGCUGUUCAUGGCCUCCUCCACUACAAUAUAGCCUUCUGCCUUAUCAAAAGCUUCUGCCAAAAUCUUCGGAUGGUGAAACAUCAACUUUUUCACCAACUUUUCGGACUUCACCAGAUCUAGCCCGUUCUGAAAUAAACCUACAGCUUGCAGAUCAUUAAGGUCAGACACCUGGCCAACUGCCUCCCUGAACCUCUUCACAUACUGACCGAAGGACUCAUUGGAGAACUGUCUGACCUGUGCUAAAGAACCUGUGGGCUUCCCUCUUCUUCGGUUGCUCCCGAAACGGGCAUGGAAUUUGUCACACAGCUCGGACCAUGAAAACACCGAAUCUGCCGGUAAAGUCCCCAUCCACUGCCUCGCAUCUUUCCUUAACGUUGUGACGAACGUAUGACACUUGGCAGCAUCGGUAAAGUCAUAAUAAUCCAUCAGCCGGUCAAACGCCUGGCUAUUGUCAUAAGGGUCCCCAGACCCAUCGUAACUCUCCAUGUGAGGCAACUUCUUGGUGGUGUCUGCCUUCUCCUUAAGAAUAUCCGAGGAAAAUGGGGACGCCUUUUUUCCCGGAGUAUCCUUCACCUGUUGGACUUCAGCUAAUUGCUUCCGGAGCUCCUUUAAUUCCUUCACCAAGAAAUCCACACUUUCUGGCUGUGAGGAAACUUCUUUCUCCGGCGACUCUUUCCUCUUUGGAAUGGACCGACCCUCUCUAACAGAAACCACCGCCCUCGAUGGACUUCUGGAUUUACUUCGGCGGGUGACCCUACCAUCACGGUGAGAGUGCUCAUGACGCUGCUCUCUCCUUCUACUUUCUGGUACGAUCUCCCACGACCUACUCCUCCGUCGGCCACCAUCUCGGUCUUGAGAACCGAUGACAAUAAGUGCUCCCUUUGAUGCCUCAGGAGUUCUGCUCCUCGAUCUCCUUCGAUUACGAGAACGGUCCCGAGAUACAUGUACAGAAUGUUCUGGUUCUUUCCCUUCUCGUCGUUGUACAUCCUUAUGCCUACUUCGUCUUUCGGACUGAACAUAAGUGGACGCCUCGUCUUUCAGAUCGGCCAUCCGAAGCAUCUGCACAGCUAUAUCUUCCCUUUGCUUUAGAAGAACCUCCAAAGCUUUAUCCGCCUCUUCUGCCAUCUUUGCCAACCUGGCGGCUUUGUCAUCUCGACCACUUCGGUGAUGGGUUCUAGGCGGAGAACCCUCCACUUGCCUUCGGUCUUGGUCUUUGCCUUUAUCAUCAGCAAAUUCCAACCUUCGUCUAGCACCACCAUGGGCUCUCGGACGAGAACCCUUGGAAUCAUGUUUGGAAGCAGUGCUCUCACUCUCAUGAGCACUCUUCGAAGGACCCAGACGAUCCUUGACAGAAAUGUGUGGGAUAGAUGAGCUUACAGCCAUUGGCUGUCCUUCUGGUGUAUCUGCUCUACUCCUCACCAUCUUAUCCGACGUAAAACAAAUGAAAGUUGUGAUUGAAAAUUACAAGACACUAGAACAGCCCUCCUUCUAGCGCCAAAUGUUAACGCCAAGAUCUUCUCCAACGUCCCAAUCACGUAAGACGCCUUGAUCCUGCACACUAAACACAGUCAACACCAAAAGCUUGACGGCUUCGACCGUCGGGGGAUAGCUCAGGCGUGAGAGUCAGUACAGGCGGUUACAAGGGUUAACAAUGGAGGAUAAAAAAUGUCUAGAGUCUUGAGAGAUAAAAAUUAUCAGUUGAAUGUGUGUACCUUUUUCUUGAAGACUUCCUUGUUAGGUUAUACUCUCUUACCCGGUUUACCGUGCCACCUACUACCGUCUGACACAUCCCCCCACUCCUCAGUGAUCUCUGCCGACUGCAUGCAGGUUGUCACCUUUUUUCUCCACUGUGCAUACCGCCGGCCGGCUAUAAUACCAUCCACAUUAAUGAUCUGCAGACUUUUGGGCAAUAACCAUCCUUUUUAAUCAUAACAAGUCAAAGAUAGAGAUAUUAAAAGAUCUAGUGGGUCAACCCAUUGAUCCGACCCGAUCCUGUAAGGACUUAACAGGAAUAAGAUGAUGACUAGGCCCGAUAACUUAAAGACUCAAUAGUGAAGACCCAAUGGACUAAUUAAAUAAAUAGGCCCAAUCCAUUCGGCCCAAUAGGAGAAAUAUCAUGACCCAACACAUACUUUGCUCAUUGUUUAUGAUGCCAUAACAUUGGUUGAGUAUGAUGUCCUUACAAUGAUUUUUCAUGCCUAUUGAUUUUAGUAGGAAGAAAUGUGUAGCUAAAUUUAUUAGUUAGUUACAAUCUCAACCUUUCAGAGGAAAUGUUGAUGCUUUAACAUAUCUGAACAUCUAACAUGGGAUAUAAGAUUUUUUCCCCCCACACUAGUGCAUAUUUACUCUUGGGAUAUCUUAGGAUAUGUUUGUUUGCAAGGACUACUUUUAGGGGAAUAUGGAUUAUAAUCCGAGGAUAAUUAACCCUAGGUAUUGUUUUAGCCUCUUAGAUAUCAAGCUUUUUUAGUGGAACUGUGCUUUAGAAUGACAAAAUCUUGCUUUGUUUUUCCUUCAUCUAGUUCCUCACAUACUAAAAAGGAAGAGUGUCUUGUCGUGACUGAAGAAGAUUUUGAUCAUCUAUGCCAUCUUGUCGAAAGAAAAGAUGGAGGUCCCCCUUGGAGACAUAUGAUGGAUCGAUCUACCCCCAAUAUGACCUACCAAGCAUGGCAGAGGGAACCUGAGGUGCUGUUUUUUCUUCUUCAUUAAUUGUUAGGUUUUCAGGUUCAUCUUCACUGAUUAUUAUUUUUUGUGUGUACUUCCCUCGUGGAUUUUUUAUGAUUUGUUCUGUCAAUUGUUUUGACUGACUUUAUCGAUGUCUUUGGCAGACUGGUCCUCCUCAAUAUUGCAGCGGAACUGUGUAUGAGGACACCUCACCUGAAAUGCUAAGAGACUUCUUCUGGGAUGAUGAGUUCCGACUCAAGUGGGACGACAUGAUUGUACAUGCUUCAACUAUAGAAGAAUGCCCCACCACAGGAACGAUGAUAGUGCACUGGAUACGGAAGGUGAGUGAAGUUUCAUUCAACUACUGCCUACUGGUAUAACUGACAUAGCUUUUGCUUGCAAAAUCCUAAAUUUUUUAUUACUCUUUUGUGCAGUUUCCCUUUUUCUGUAGUGAUAGAGAGUACAUAAUUGGCCGUCGAAUAUGGGAAUCAGGAAGAACAUAUUACUGUGUGACAAAGGUAUGUCAAAAGAUAUUGUUUUGGUACUAUAAGUAAGAUCAACAAUAUACUGCAUGGUUGGGAUGUUAUGUUGUUGCAUUGUUAUUGAAAUGAAGAGUUUGUCCCUCGAGAAGCCAAAGCUUGAAAAGCUCAAUAAGAAUCAUGCUCUAUAUGUUGGCAUCUGUUUCUGGAAAGAUAUUGGACUGCGAUGGGUAAUGUUAUUAGCAAUUAGUACUCGGCAGUAAAGCCGCUAGUUCUUAAUGAUAAGCCAACGGAAAAGGUAAAUUAUGUUACUUGGCCAUAAGAGCAUUUGAGCAAGUAAUCGGAGUCAAAGGCACUAUGAGGGAAGAGUAAAGCUUAAAGAAUGAUAGUAAUAAAACAGGUCCUAUAUUUUACAAAUGAAGACAUGCAUAGCGAUUUCAGAUAGUUAAAAAAAUGCAUUAUACUGGUAACGGAAUUUUGCAAUGAAAUAUCAGUGCUGCUUCAGACAACACUGUGAUGCCAAAUGGCAUUUUUGCAUUUCUUUGUAUUUUGGUUUUUCUAUUCUUUUUUCCUGUUUUAGUUGUUAAAAUUUUGACUUAUUCUAAUUGCCUUAUCUGCUCUACAAGGGAGUGCCCUGCUCUUCUAUUCCUAGGCGGCAGAAACCAAGACGUGUUGACCUUUACUAUUCAAGUUGGUCAAUUCAAGCAGGUAGUGUAACAAUGGAGGUUUUUCUUUUUUUCCUCUUCGUAAUUUAUGAAUAUAGAAUAUAACAUGUGGAUCAGCAGAGGUUAUUUCUUAAAGCAUAAGCAAGUGAUGUGUGUUGAGUUUAGGUCUCUUAAGAUUAGUUUUGGCAAUAUUUGUUUUCAUAAUAUAUUGUUCUUGUAAAUGUUUCACCAAAAGGGGCAAAAAAUAUUUUAAAAUUUUGCUGGAUGGAUAAAAAUGAUGUUCUAGUGACUGUGUUGCUGUGUCACAUGUGGUCCUACAUUUCUAACUUGAAUUUUCUCAUAAUAAUCUUGCAUCUUGUGUGCAUUAAACAGUGGAAUCAAGGAAAGGGAAUGGUCAACUGACUGCAUGUGAAGUUAUACUCUUCCAUCAUGAAGAUAUGGGCAUUCCAUGGGAGAUUGCAAAAUUUGGAGUAAGGCAGGGAAUGUGGGGAGCCGUCAAGAAGAUUGAAUGUGGUUUCCGUGCCUACCAAAAGGAAAGAGCUUCUGGGUCACCAAUAUCUCACCCCGCAUUUAUGGCUCAGAUCAACACCAAGAUUGAUCCAAACUACCUAAAAUCCUUGGAAAGUGAUGAAGGUUUACCAGAGACUGAAGUGGUUAGCUCAUCUGAAAAGCCUGUGGGUAUGAAUAUACCAAAGCUUGUAGUCUUUGGUGGGGCGGUUGUCCUUGCUUGUAGUCUUGAUCGUGGUCUCUUGACUAAAGCGGUUAUAUUCGGUGUUGCCAGAAGUUUAGCAAAUAUAGGAAGGAGAGCUUGUCCAAGAUAGUAACUUGUCGUGAAACAAAGUCAUGGUCUUGCUUACCUGCUUGGUUAUGAGCUUUAGUCGCUGACCUCUCGGAAAAUAAGUGUAUGUAUUCUUUUUGUAAGUAAAUGUUGUUAUUUGGGAGCACCUAGAAGUAAAUUGUAUAGGAGGGAAGAGGGCUGUUCUUAGAUUUACUUGAUAAUAGACGCAAUCUUCGGUUCCAGAGAAAAAUUAAUUUGUUGAUCUCAUGUGGCCUCCCAAAACACUUGUGGAAAUGAUAAGUUUGUUGAAAAAGCUAUUAUAAAUAUUGUUACGUAUAUUUCAUAAACAAUUUGCAAGUUUUACUACAUACAUAGUUUGUCAAAAUAUGGGAAACCACUUUGAUUUGAGCUGCUAUGUCACAAAAGUGAUACGAAUUCUCUUUGAUUUGAGCAUUCGUUCAUGGGGCUGAAGCUUUUAAUACAUUUGUCCUGGGUGAUAUGUUGGUGCAAAUUCAAGGUUCAUGACCUCAUGCUGUCAUAAAUUAACAAACACAAAUCUGAACAGAUUUAAAUCUUGUGGAAAGUAAGCUUCUCCAAGCUAUGAAGUCUUGUUUUAACUAAAACGAGGAGGGGGGUNNNNNNNNNNNNNNNNNNNNNNNNNNNNNNNNNNNNNNNNNNNNNNNNNNNNNNNNNNNNNNNNNNNNNNNNNNNNNNNNNNNNNNNNNNNNNNNNNNNNNNNNNNNNNNNNNNNNNNNNNNNNNNNNNNNNNNNNNNNNNNNNNNNNNNNNNNNNNNNNNNNNNNNNNNNNNNNNNNNNNNNNNNNNNNNNNNNNNNNNNNNNNNNNNNNNNNNNNNNNNNNNNNNNNNNNNNAGAAAAGUAGGAGAGAAUUAUAGGUGUAUUAGUAAUUACCUUGGUGUCGGAAUAAUGUUGGUAUUUAUCAAAGAAAUAAAUCCCAACUGCAGCAGCUACUGCUGGUGCUGUCAUGUAAAGGGUGCCCAGAGCCAUUAAUCUCUUAGAGCAGAAGAAGCAGAGGUUUUUAUUCUUCCCUUUGUAGGCAAAGAGAAAAAUGUCUUGUUUGUAGCUCUUCUAUCUGCUGAAAAUCUUCAGAGAUAUAGGAAGGAAAAGGAGAUGAUCAGUAAAGCAAAGGAAUAUGAGAUAUCUUGGUGGUAAAGACAAGUAAAGAAUGGAGUAUAAAAAAUAAUAAGAGAAAAUGUGGAAGACCUGACCUCAUGUCAAAGGCACAAAUUAAUGGAAUUUUUGUGGGCCCUAGAAUUUUCCAUUAAAAACAUGCGACAAAAUUUGUGUGAUUCAGGAAACACAGAACCAAAUUAUUAUAUAUAUAUUUCCUCAAGUUCAUGGCUUAAUGCUUAAUGAUAUUCAUAUAUAUAUGAAGUUGGUUGGAAAAAAAUUAAUCUUAAGAUAUCUGAUUAAGUCAAUGCUUAAUGCAUGAUUUUUUCAUCAUGGCUGAACAUAUUAUUUGCAUGAGGAUUGUUAAAUCCACAACAAAAAAUGUUAUUUUUACAAUAAAAGUAUCGCUAUAGAUCCUAUAGUGACGGUUUUUACCGUCGCUAUACAUCUAUAACGACACUUUUAUUAUAGAAAUAAAAAAAAUAUUAUGAAUUUAACAAUUUCCUAUUUGCAUUCAUCAUAUAUUAGGGGAAUUCUGGUUUACACAUUUCACCGUAGUAUGUCAAGACUCACCCUCAACCUGAUGGUUAUCAUAUGUUGAGGCCAAAUGCCUUUGACUUGGGUUAACGUUUUCUAUAUAUCUAUGAUUAUUUGUUAUUAAUUUUUUUUAAAAUAAUAUAUAUAUAUAUAUAUAUAUAUAUAUAUAUAUAUAUCAAAUGAUUACUGUAUUAAUAUUUAAAAUUUGUGCAAAAUUUACUUUUAAAAGUAUUAUAAAAUACACUAAAUUACAAUCAUCAUCUCCAAAGUUUCAAGUCAUGAAACAUAAUGAUAUNNNNNNNNNNNNNNNNNNNNNNNNNNNNNNNNNNNNNNNNNNNNNNNNNNNNNNNNNNNNNNNNNNNNNNNNNNNNNNNNNNNNNNNNNNNNNNNNNNNNGUCCUGAUCCUGCACAAUAAACACGAUAAACACCACAAGCUUGACGGCUGUUCCGUCGGGGGAUAGCUCAGGCGUGAGAGUCAGUAUACGUGUUCACAAGGUUAACAAUGGAGGAUGUAAUAUCUAGUGUAUUGAGAGAGAUAAUAAUUCUCUGUUGUGUGUAUGUGAUUAUCAAUGUGAAUGUUAAUGUAUCUGUUUGUGAAGACCUCCUUGCUAAGUUAUACUCUCUUUGCCCGGAUUACCGUGCCACCCACUACUAUCUGACACGGCCCCCUGAUCUGAUGGAUUCUGCCAACUGCAUGUAGUCUACCUACUACUUUUGGUCACUGUUUCUACCGCCGGCCGGCUAUGAUCUCAUCCACAUUAAUGCAUGACAAGUCCAAGAUAGAGAUAUUAAAAUAUCUAAUGGGUCGAUCCACUAAUCAACCCGAUCUUAAAAGGAUCCAACAGAAAUAACAUAAUGACUAGGCCAAAUAACUUUAAGACUCAAUAGUAAGGACCCAAUGAACAAAUCAAAUAAGUAGGCCCAAUAUACUCGGCCCAGAGAGGGGAAAUAUCAUGACCCAACAUUGCCCCCUAGUUUUUUGUUGAACGGAAUGUUUAAUAGAAAACUAUAAAUGGUCCAUGAUAUUUUACUAAAAGUCCAUAGUGAGAAAUAAUCGAAAUGUACCCGGUUAUUGUUCAAGAGAUGAAAUGAGAGGAGAACGGAGGCCCAAAUCAGAAAGGCUCUGCCUAAUAAAUAUCUGGACCCGGAACCGGACGCUUCCCAUUCAAAUUCUAAAUCAUUACUAACAUUUAAUGUGCCGGCCUUGUACACCGUGUAACCGUCAGUAUAAAAGAUAACUUCACUAAAUUUGACAGUUUUACCUGCCCAUUUGAAAUUCGAGCGCCUUUUGAGUUUUCUUCGUCCCUGAACUAUCUGUCCUCCUUUGUGAACUGUCAAAAAUGGCUUCCCAAGAUUCUGAACAAAGUUCACCCCUUUUAGUAACACCGAUCAACGCUGUUUCACCAAACCCUAACACCCGCGAAGGAACCUCAACCUCGAACCCCAAAGGAAAGAAAACCGAUAAGAAUCCUCCUAUAAAAACCCCCCCAAAACUCCCUCUGAAUACUACAAGGAUACGGAUCGUUUCUCGCAUGCUAACAUUCCCUCUAUUGUCACUGAAGCUGAGUUAAAAAGGAUUUGAUCUCGGUACCACAUUCUGGAUACUCAUGCGGCUAGGGCUCCCAGAUCUGGUAAGAAAAUGUAUCAACGGCCAGAGGGUUGGACAGCCGUCCCUGUGACCCUGCUUGAGAAGGGGGUCCAUUUUCCUCUGCACGCCUUCAUAGUGACUAUACUGGGGUUCCUGAGCGUGGAGUUCGCCCAAUUGGUACCAAAUUCUUACAUUCACAUUUUGGCCUUUGUUGCCUUCUGCCAUGAGUUGGGCGUUGAGCCUUCUCUCGACUUCUUCUUCACCGUGUACAAGAUCGUCCAAUCCAGAGAGAAAGGGUUUAAAGCUCUCAACAAACACUCUCCGAAGUCGGGAGAAAAGUUCGAGAGACGUUCGUUGGUGAACACUCCUUCGAGCAAUAGGGGAUGGCACGAGAAGUGGUUCUUCGUCAAAGGUCCUGAAAUCUCUUCUUUAUCGAACUGGGCCACUGACGAGAAGAUCUCUGCUGACUUCGGAGAUAUCUCUGAAGAACGGGAAGUUGAGAUGAUGGAGCUUUUUGAUAACUUUCCCAAGGAGGAGUGGAAGUACGGACUCCUCUCGAAGCAGGCGUGGUUAUAUGACCAUAAAUGUAAGUAUUGGUCUAUUUGAUACAUAAAUUUUUGAAAAUGUUUUUAUGAUGUGGAAUCUAACAUAGGACUGUUUGUUUCGUGCAGUAUCUUUGAUCAGACCGAGCUUCUUAGAAAUAAAGGAGUUUGAAGAUUUUUUGUCGUGGAAGUCUUCGGAAGUUGUUGAGAGUCUACCAACAGAGGCUACCCCCGAAGCCGAGCCAACCCCUGAAAUACAUAUCGAUGAACCCCAAACAGAAGAACCAGAAGCUGAUAAGGUUCACGUAUCGGAAGAGACCCUUCGUCCUCGUCAGAAGAGGAGGGCCACUAGAAAACCCAGAUCAACACCUCUUCCCAGCUCUUCUGAAGCCAUCCCAGAAACUGAGCCAACCACCACAUCAAUCCCUCGACGAGUAGGCUUGCUCGAUCAUCCUGAUCGAAGAAGCAUCCUCCGGAUCAAAAAAUUAAAAACCAAGAUAACCCCCCUGACCGCCGAAGAACUCAGGGUGCCUCAGUCCUCACUCAUCCCACCUUUCGUGCCGCCUGUAGAAAUACAAAUUGUCGAAGAAGGUGAGCAGGACGAAACUGUUCCAACGCUGUCCAGGAAGAGGAAGCGUACACCUGACAGCUAUCCAAGUUCUGCCUCUGCCGCAUCUCCCCGAGAACCCAUUCCAAAUAAAUCGCCCUCUCCCGAGACUGUAUAUGCGGACCCCACCCCUCCUGAGCAGCCAAUCCCUUCUCCCGAAAGACCGAGACCUUCCCCCGAAUGACCCGGUCCUUCAGGUCAGGGUUAUCAUGCUGAGGCUAUGGGAUCCCCGACUCUGUGGCCUAGAUUCAAUGCAAAUUUCCCAUUCAAUCUUUUCGGAGCUUUCGUCCGGAAUGCUGAUGACCACCGGUUCAGUGACCAUACGGAUGGAAAUCUGCUUGACGAGGGGAUGAGCUAUCUGGCUAAGGUAAAUAACAGUUUCUUUAUUUUCUAUUUCUCUGUUCUUGUUUAGAUAUCUGAACACUGUUGAACAUAUACAGGCCAAUGCUGUCUUCGGAUGUUUGCGUCCGAGGCACAUAAAUGAGGAGGCCGAGGAAGAUUUCAUGAGACAGGAGAUCAACAUGCUGAGAUCGACCCUGGCUCGAGAAAGGGCCGAUCGCGAAGACGCUCUUCAUACCAUCGACGGCCUUCAAAGAGACUUAGAUCGGGCUAGGAUGGACUUGAAGACGUCUGACGACGAGCUAAGGGCCACAAGGGAUGGGCUGGCUGCGUCCGAAGCCGGUCAACAAGUUUUAACUGAUAUGAACGCAGGCCUGGUCGAAGAAAACCUACUCUUGAAGGCCAAAAAUGAGGAGUUUUCUUGAGCCAACCGAAGCUUGGCGAUUCAACUUGGCAAGGCUUAGGCGAAGGCCCAGGACGAAGAGCGAAGACAUAAGGCUUAGCGUCAUAAACUUCGUCACAAAAUAAAGGAGCUUGAGGGACGGGGUCCUCUUCUGACUGAAGAGCUGCGGAAGCAGAUUCAGGCGGACUACAGGGACUCGGACGAUCUUAAUGCCGAAAUCAUGAAGGUCUAUUCGGAGGGGUAUGAAGACUGCCGAGAGCGAGGUAAAGAAAAGCUAUCUGCCGCUCAGCUGGAUCCGGCCCUUCUUAACUCCGAGGACGAAGGUGGUGCCUGAAUNNNNNNNNNNNNNNNNNNNNNNNNNNNNNNNNNNNNNNNNNNNNNNNNNNNNNNNNNNNNNNNNNNNNNNNNNNNNNNNNNNNNNNNNNNNNNNNNNNNNNNNNNNNNNNNNNNNNNNNNNNNNNNNNNNNNNNNNNNNNNNNNNNNNNNNNNNNNNNNNNNNNNNNNNNNNNNNNNNNNNNNNNNNNNNNNNNNNNNNNNNNNNNNNNNNNNNNNNNNNNNNNNNNNNNNNNNNNNNNNNNNNNNNNNNNNNNNNNNNNNNNAUAAGGACCUUUGUCUACCACUCGGGGUAGAACAACAAAUGGGCUGCCAUCGAAUGGACAGCGAGUCCUACCAUACCUCCUUACACCAUCGUGACCUUAGGACAAAUAGGACCAGGAUCAAUAGUGACCAUUGACUUACCACCCUUGGUAAAAUUAAUAUAGGAUCAUAAGGACCUUUGUCUACCACUCAGGGUACAACAACAAAUGGGCUGCCAUCGAAUGGCCAGCGAGUCCUACCAUACCUCCUUAUACCAUCGUGACCUUAGGAUAAAUAGGACCAGGAUCAAUAGUGAAAAAGUGACUUUUUAUUGAUAAUGGACAAUCAUAUACAGACUUCUGAUAAAUUGACUUGAUCUCUAUUAAAAGUAUUUCCGAAGCCUGCCAGCAUGCCAAGUGUUCUUGAUCUCGGAACCAUCUAAUGCCUUUAACCGAUAGGUGCCCGGCUUUGAUACUUCGAUCACUUCAUACGGCCCUUCCCAGUUUGGCAUUAACUUUCCCGUGUUUUGAGGUGUAGAAGCUUCGACUUCUCUGAGGACGAAGUCUCCUACUUCGAAUCUGCGAAGUUUGACUCCUUUGUUGUAAUGUUUAGCUACUCUUCGUUGAUAAGCAGCCAAUUUGAGUAAAGCCACUUCUCUGACUUCUUCUAGUAGAUCCAAGUUGGCCUUUAGUCCUUCGUCAUUAUAGAUCUCUUUGAAUUGACUGGCCCGAAGACUUGGAGAUCCAAUUUCGACUGGGACCAAGGCAUCAGUACCGUAGGCCAGCCGAAAAGGUGAAUCCCCUGUGGUUGUCCUCGGCGUAGUCCGGUAAGCCCACAGCACGCUGAGCAGCUCUUCUGGCCAUCUUCCUUUAGCUUCAUCCAGUCUGCGCUUGAUCCCGUUCAGUAGCGUCCUGUUGGUCACCUCAACUUGCCCAUUUGACUGUGGGUGAGCCACCGAAGUCUUCUUAUGCUGAAUCCCCAGCUCCUUUAAAAAUCCUUCAAAUUUGGAUCCUACGAACUGACGUCCGUUGUCCGAUAUCACCACUCUAGGAAUUCCGAAGCGAAACACUACGGACUCUUUUAUGAAUUUCAAACACUCUUGUUCCGUUAUUAAUCGAAGUGGCUUCGCCUCUACCCAUUUGGUCAUGUAAUCAAUAGCAACCAUGACGAAGCUGACCUGACCUUUAGCUUUAGGCAACGGACCCAAUAUAUCUACCCCGCAGACAACGAAGGGUAUAGGAGAUAAAAUCGAAUAUAGCUCUUUCGGUGGCUGAUGUGGGAUCGGACUGUUGAGCUGGCAUUUUUCACAUCUCUUGACAUACUCUGUAGCUUCCUUGAAAAUUGUAGGCCAAUAGUAUCCUUGCCGAAGUACUUUAUAAGCCAAAAACUUGGCAGCCAUAUGAUCACCGUAAAUACCCUCGUGAACUUCCCGAAGAGCAUACUCCGCCUCGGAUGGGACCAGGCACUUCAGCAAUGGUGAGGAAAAGGCCAAUCGAUAAAGAUCCCCAUCAAUAAGAACAAAAUUGGCACUCUUGUACUUGAUCUUCUUUGCCAACAUCUGAUCCGAAUGAAGGACGCCAUAUGCCAAAUAUUUGAUGUAGGGAGUCAUCCAGCAGUUAGAUCGCUCGAUACACAUCACUGCUUCAUGCUGAACACUCGGCUGCUGCAAAACUUCCAAGUAAACCGAUCCAUUGAAAACAUCUGCAUCUGUAGUGGCCAGCUUCGAUAGUGCAUCAGCAAUGGAAUUGUCGCUACGCUCUAUGCCCUAAAACUCGUACAAAGCAAAAUACUAAAGUCGGUCUUUUAAUUCCGCCAGAUACUUGAUCAUCCGGGUCCCACGAGCUUCAUAAUCUCCCGACAGCUGUUUGACGACCAACUGAGAGUCACUGUAAAUGAUCAGCUUCUGGACUUCUAGACUCUUUGCCAAUCAAACACCUGCUAACACUGCUUCGUACUCGGCUUCGUUGUUCGUCGCUUUAAACCCGAAUCUGAUGGCCUGCUGAAUUUUGAACCCCUAAAGACUCGUCAAGAUAAUUCCUGCCCCACUAACAGUUACCGUAGAGGAUCCAUCUGCAUAUAACGUCCAAGCACUCUGACCCUGUUGAAGAACUGCAACUGCUCGGUCAGACGAUUCAACCUCUGAUAACUCGGCAUCUGCUUCGGUAAAUGAGCAUUCUACCAUAAAAUCGGCCAACGCCUGACCCUUGAUAGCGGUUCGGGGAUGGUAUUCGAUGAAAAAUUGGGACAGCUCCAUAGUCCAUGCUGCUAGUCUCCCUGAAACUUCUGGCUUGCCCAUCACCUUCUUCAAUGGUUGAUCCGUGUAGACGACCAGGAGUCUACCUUGAAAAUAUUAUCGAAGCUUUCUACUAGCAAUUAUUAAAGCAAAGACAAAUUUCUCAAUAUUCGGGUACCUGGUUUCAGCAUCUCGUAAGACGUGACUAACAUAAUAGAUCGGAUGUUCCUUCCCGCUGACCUCCCGCACCAGCACUGCUCCGACUGCCAUCGAACUUGCUGCAAGGUAUAGAUAUAAAGUCUCUGCUGGGGCAGGCUUCACCAAUAAAGGAGCAGAAGAAAGAUAUGUCUUUAUGCCUUGGAAGGCGUCUUCACAUUCCGAAGUUCACUGAAACGUCUUCGCAUUCUUCGGCCCUUUCAAUGUGUCAAAAAAAGGAAGGCAUAUCUCCGCAGAUUUGGCGACGAACCUCCUUAAAGUUGCAAUCCUAGCAGUCAGACGUUGGACGUCUUUGAACGACUGAGGAGUCUUCAUAUCAAGAAUGACCUGGAUCUUCUCUGGAUUGGCCUCGAUGCCCCUCUGACUGACCAGAUAACCCAAAAACUUUCCUGCACCGAGGCCGAAAGUGCAUUUGGCCGGAUUGAGUCUCAGUUGACGAUGACGGACAGUCUGAAAGCAUUCCUCUAGAUCGUCCAAAUGAUUCUGAACCUGCAUGCUCUUCACGAUCAUAUCGUCUACAUAUACCUCCAUGUUCCUCCCUAGCUGCCUGUCGAAGAUGAAGUUCAUCAUUCUCUGGUAGGUGGCUCCCGCGUUUAUAAGGCCAAAAGUCAUCUUCUUGUAGGCGUACACCGAACGGUGUGUAAUGAACGCUGUCUUUGGAAUGUCCUCCUUACACAUGGAUAUUUGAUGAUAAUCUGAAAAAGCAUCCAUAAAGCUUAGUAAUGCAUACCCCGAAGUGGCAUCGAUGAGCUGAUCGAUAUGGGGCAGAGGAUAAAAGUCCUUCGGACAAGCUUUAUUGAGAUCGGUGUAGUCGAUGCAAACCCGCCAUUUUCCAUUCUGCUUCUGCACCAACACCACAUUCUCCAUCUACUCGGGAUAAUCAAUUUCAUAGAUGAAGUCGGCAGCUAACAUCUUUGCAAUUUCCUCAUCAAUGAUCUUCUGUCGCUCGGGCGCAAAGAUCUGCCUUUUCUGCCGAACUGGCUUCUUCGAGGGAUUUACAUCCAGACUAUGCUCAGCUAUCUUCUGGCUAACUCCAGGCAUGUCCUGUGGUUCCCAUGCAAAGAUAUCCGCAUAGCAGCGUCAAAGUUCCAUAAGGUUUGUCCGAAGAGGCUCUGGUAGACUCGAACCGAUCUUCACAAUCUUGUCUGGCUUUCCGAUGAUCAACUCGAUCUCCUCCGUCCCACCUACAGGGAUCACCAACGGUUCUGAACUACUCUCGGUGAAAGGUUCGAUCUCAAUUGCCAUUGUUUGUUUCUGUUUACUGACCCCCACUCCGGACGAAAUAACAGCAUUCCGAUAACAUCGUUAGGCCAGAUCUAAGUCCCCCGCCACCUCUCCUACUCCAUGCGCCGUGGGGAAUUUGAUUUUGAAAUGAGGGAUGGAGGUCACAGCUUGGAGAGCCGUCAAAGUAGGUCUUCCCAGUAUGGCAUUGUAAGCCGAAUCUACAUGCACAACAUAAAAUUUACACGUUAUUUCUCCCUGCUGAGGUGCUGUGCCGAAGAUAACUGGGAGUUCAAUAGUGCCUACAACUUUGACUGGAUCGUUGCUGAAACCGUAUAAAGGAGCCUCCUGCCCGACCUCCAUUUUUUGCCCGUCAAGAUGCAUCCUCUGAUAGGCAUGGGCAUACAGAAUAUCCACCGAAGACCCGUUGUCUAUCAUCAUGCGUUUCACAUCCACCGAGCCCACUUGUGUUGUGAUCACCAAGGCCCCCUCGUGUGGCUCGAUGGGCUCCGAAGGAUAAUCUGCGUCCGUAAACGAUAUGACGGUCCCUGGGAAUGGUCUGUCAAUCUUCAGGGGAGCAUCUGUCACAGACAUGACCGAAUCCAAGUAAGCCCUUCUCUUCUUCCCUAUCAACUUCCCUAUAUAUCCACCGGUUAUUAUAUCGAUGACAUGCCUUGGCGGCGGUACUGGAGCAUUUUGGAUGGAUAGAGCCAUUUGAACUAUCUGAACAGUACAGUUGAUAUUCUGCUGAUCACGUUGGUCGUUCACGGCCACAUACUGCACCAAAAAACCAUUUUUAAUCUUCUUCUCCAUGAAAUCUUUUAAAUUGCAACACUCAUUAGUGUCAUGGCCCGCGACUUGAUGAUAUCCACAAUACUUACGAGAGUUACCCUGUCCUGUCCUAUAAUUAUCACGAGGUGGCUCGAAAAAAGGCUGGUUUCUGAUCUGAUCCAAAAUCACCGACCUAUCUGUGUUCAGUUUGGUGUAGACCUUAUUUACCUUCGGGGCGGGAACAGGUGGAUGACUACUUCCUUGCCGCCAUGAGUUAUUGUACUUCUUCGAACUGCCCUCUAGCUGAUCAUUAUACCCCCCUGUUCUCCUCUGAUCAACUUCGGCCUUGGGAACUUCUAUCUGCUUUAAAUGGUCCGAAGAAGGAUGCUUCAGGCUGUUCAUGGCCUCUUCUACAACAAUAUAAUCUUCUGCCUUGUCAAAGGCUUCUGCCAGGCUCUUCGGAUAGUGGAACAUUAAUUUUUUCCCCAACUUCCCGGACUUCACCAGAUCUAGCCCGUUCUGGAACAAACCUACAGCCUGGAGAUCAUUAAGGUCGGACACCUGACCAACUGCUUCUCUGAACCUCUUUACAUACUGGCCUAAAGAUUCGCUAGUGAACUGUCGGAUCUGUGCUAGAGAACCCGUAGGCUUUUCCCUUCUUCGGUUGCUCCCAAAACGUGCAUGAAACUUAUCACAAAGCUCGGUCCAAGAGGAUAUCUAAUCGGAUGGUAAAGUCCCCAUCCACUGUCUCGCAUCUUUUUUCAACGUCGUGACAAAAGUGUGGCACUUGGCGGCAUUAGUGAAGUCAUAAUAGUCCAUCAGCCGAUCGAAUGCCUGACUAUGGUCAUAGGUAUCUCCGGACCCAUCGUAACUCUCCAUACGAGGCAACUUUUUGUGAUAUCUGCCUUCUCCUUGAGAAUAUCUGAGGAAAAAGGGGACGCCUUCUUUCCCGGAGUGUCCUUCACUUGUUGGACCUCAGCCAGCUGCUUUCGGAGUUCUUUUAACUCCUUUACCAGAAAAUCAACACCUUCGGGCUGCGAGGAAACCUCUUUUUCAUGAACGACAUUCUGUCUCUGAGUGGAUUGACCUCCUCCUGUCGGUCCCAUUGCCCUUGUGGGGCUUCUUGAUCUACUCCGGCGCGCACUUCUGUCCUCAUGAUGAGAAUGGUCACGCUGAUACUCCCUUGUUCUGGUUUCUGGCACGAUCUCCCUCGACCUGCUUCUUCGUCUGUUGUCGUCUCGAUGCUGAGAACCAACGACCAUCAGUGCCUUCUUCGGGGCCACGGGAGUUCUGUUCCUCGAUCUUCUCCUACAGUGAGAACGAUCCCUAAACAUAUGCGCAGAAUACUCCGGCUCCUUGCCCUCUCGCCGUGAUAUCUCCUUAUGCCUACUCCGCCUUUCGGACUGAACAUGGCUAGAUGCUUCGUCCCUUAAUUCCGCCACGCGAAGCAUCUGUUCGGCUAUAUCUUCUCUCUGUUUCAACAGAACCUCCAAGGCUUUAUCUGCUUCGUCUGCCAUCCUCGCCAACUUGGCAGCUCUGUCCUCCUGAUCACUUCGACGAUGAGUCUUGGUCGGUGAGCCUUCUGCCCGCCCUCGACCAUGAUCACGCUCCUUAUCCGCAUUGAAAACCAACUUACGUCUGGCCCCACCAUGGAUCUUCGGACGGAGAUCUCCUGAAUUAUACUUAGAAGCCGUGCUCUCGUGAGCGCUUUUAGAAGGACCCAGGCGAUCCUUUACCGAAACACGAGGCAGUGACGAGCUAACAGCCAUCGCCUGCCCUUCUGGCGUACCAUCUCUACUCCUCAUCAUCUUCCGAAGUAGGUUAAACAAUUGUGAUUGAAAAUUUCAAUGACACUAGAACUAAACCCCUCCUUCUAGCGCCAAUGUUAACGCUAAGAUCUUCUGCCACGUCCCAAUCACGUAAGACGCCCUGAUCCUGCACAGUAAACACGAUAAACACCACAAGCUUGACGGCUGUUCCGUCGGGGGAUAGCUCAGGCGUAAGAGUCAGUAUACGUGUUCACAAGGUUAACAAUGGAGGAUGUAAUGUCUAGUGUAUUGAGAGAGAUAAUAAUUCUCCGUUGUGUGUAUGUGAUUAUCAAUGUGAAUGUUAACGUACCUGUUUGUGAAGACCUCCUUACUAAGUUAUACUCUCUUUGCCCGGAUUACCGUGCCACCCAUUACUAUCUGACACGGCCCCCUGAUCUGAUGGAUUCUGCCGACUGCAUGUAGUCUACCUACUACUUUUGGUCACUGUUUCUUCCGCCGGCCGGCUAUGAUCCCAUCCACAUUAAUGCAUGACAGGUGUUUUAGUCAACCGUCAUCCUUUUCCAUCAUUACAAGUCAAAGAUAGAGAUAUUAAAAUAUCUAAUGGGUCGAUCCACUGAUCAACCCGAUCUUAAAAGGAUCCAACAGAAAUAAUAUAAUGACUAGGCCAAAUAACUUUAAGACUCAAUAGUAAGGACCCAAUGAACAAAUCAAAUAAGUAGGCCCAAUAUACUCGGCCCAGAGAGGAGAAAUAUCAUGACCCAAUAUAUAUCAUAUCAAAUGAUUACUAUAUUAAUAUUUAAAAUUUGUGCAAAAUUUAUUUUUAAAAGUAUUAUAAAAUACACUAAAUUACAAUCAUCAUCUCCAAAGUUUCAAGUCAUGAAACAUAAUGAUAUAAAUAGAACAAAAUAUAUAUUUAUAGAAAAGUCAAAAUAAAACCUCAUGCCUGAAAUUAAAAAUUCUACUCAUUUUAAUUAAUUGUUACAACUUGCAUUUUCUUAUGUUCAGAUAACUAUUUUUAAAAUUAGUAGUUUAUGUCAUUUUUGAAAAAUAUAGGCCAAAAUACACAAUGAACCUUUUGUUCGAGAGUAUAUACCGAGUUACCAACAACACUAUUGAUUUUUUUAAGACUCGAGUAAUCGCAUAUAAAAUUGUUUGGAUGCAAUUUGAUAAUUUUAAAAUUACACUUGACACCAUUUGUGAUUGGUGUAAUGCGAUUUUAAAAUUUGUGUUGUAGUUAGUUCGGUUUUGGUUUCAAAAUUAAUUAACAUAGUCAAAAAUAAUAUUAAAUACAUCAAAUUAUCUUUGUCUAAGAAAAAAAAUUCCAAAUAUUACUAUGUAAUUUCAUGGAGAAUGGGACAGUAAAAAUAAUUUAAAUACUAAACCAUUUUACAAAUAAUAGAAAAAAAUAAAUGAGAGAAGAAGUUUUAUGAAUAAUAAAUUGAGAUAUAAAAUUAAGAUAUCAUACUAAACGGUAAAACAAUGAGAAAUGUCAAAUAUAUCAUUGGCAAGUGAGAAGCAAUGAGGUCAAUCUCUUUUAAAUAUACAAUAUGAAUUCUGAUACAGCAAUGUAGUUGGACUCUCGUGUACUCAAUUAAUCAUUUUUCCUGGGAGGUCAAUCUUUGCUGUUAGGCAAGAGGAUAGAAAGAUCCACUUUCCACUUAACUGAACUAAGAGCAAUUUCUUAUUAGAAAAGAUAAAAAGACUGUAAAAAAAUAUUUUUAACCCCAAUAUAUCUUUUUUGAAUGAAAGAUUAUAUAUGCCGAAUUUGAAUUGAUCUCGAUUAAUCCUUCAUUAUUGAUCAACAGAAAAGUAACAAGUAGGGAUGACACCCACCCAUCACAACAUAACCACACCAAUACAAAGAUAAAAAAUUAUGAUUCAAAAUGUAUACAUCACACAUUUCAAAUAUUAUUAUUAUUUUAAAAUUAUUAUUAUUAUUAUUAUUAUUAAUUUUGAAAUUAUUAAAAUUCAAUCAAAAAUUCAAUAAAACGUGUCAUUAGUUUUGUCGUAUAUAUAUAAGUGGUGCGGUGCAAGAGCCUCGUAAAAUGGCACCCACACGCAUACGUGGAAACUCUUAAAAUACGCCCCCACAUAUGUCAAAACUGUUAAUGCGGCUAAUCAGUACCGUUUACUAAUUUUUAGUGCUAUUUUGGGGCCCAUUUUGAGUCCUGCUCAGCCCAAGUAGCCGCACACGAUUUGAAGGGCUAUAAUAACCCGCUGAGAACCUUUGGCCUCUUAUGCAUACACUAGCAUCCGAUGGCUCAGACGCACAGUAGACAAAUAAUUUAUUUAUAAAAUUUAAAGGGUUAAAUUAAAAAAUAAAACAAAAUAAUAUAAUAUAAGAAAGAAAAUAAAAAUUAUCAUCCAAAUUAAAGGACAUUUUUGAAAGCCAAAAAGACUACAUAAAUUGAACUAACAAACCAGUAUAUAGGAGUAUUAGAUUACUUGAACAACUAACACAACAUUUAUACACAAUUUGCAUAAAUAAUCAACGUACCGCCGCUGAUCAUUUAAAUUUGAGGGGGUUUGUGUCGCGUAGGGCAGCAAGUCAACCACCUAUGCGACCUACCGAGUUAAAUUCGUGGAACAUAUUCAAUUGAAAAAUGCCCUUUUGAUCUUUGAUUACUUGUUAAUUCUAUUUUUAAUUGUUUUUGAUAUGUUAAGUUUGUGAUUUUUGUUAAUUCGUAAAAGAAUCUUGUGAGACUACGUAUUUUCCACGUCAAAGGAAAGAAGUUUCAAACUUUAUGAAAGAAAGAAAGAAUCUGAUUAAAAAUAAAAAAUUAAAUAGAAUGGUAAAAUAUGGUAUUGAUUAAUACACAGAUGUAUAUGGAAUAAAAAUUAAAAAAAAUCGAAGAGUGAUGGAUGUUUGAUCCAUAAUCAAGAAAGAAUUAUGGUCUCAAAACAGAAAACUCCAUCCAAUUCCGGUGCGAAUCUUGGAUUUCCCCUCCUCUGCUGUCGUUGAGGUUCUUGAUUUUCCGGCUCCUUCUUGACUCUCGUCGUCGUCGUCGGAGGGGCUUGUUUAGUUAGUACCGGCGGCGGAUUACCCCAAGAAAAUCCGACUUUCUGACCAAAGGAUUCGGCAGAAAGAACAUCAAAUGAACUGAAAAUUGACAUCAUCAUCGUGUCCUGCUACCUUAAUUCUUUCUUCCUUAGCUCUUGCUAGCUACUUUUCUUUUCCUUCACUCUCUUUGCAAAAGUAAACGUUUGAUGAUAUUAUGAAAACUUUUAACUUGUCAACUGUGUCUGUAAUCGUAGAUGGAUGGCUACAAUAAUAUAACAGAGGAAGUGGAGUUUAUAUAGGAAAGGAAAAGGAAAAGGAAAAGGAAAAGGAAAAGGAUGACUUGACUUCUUUAUUUUGUUGUUUGGAUCGGACCGGACUGGACCGGACCAGGCAAUUAGCGUGGAAGUUGGAAUUUUGGUCAGAUUAAGGAGAAACAUAAAGCGUGUCGGUCGGUCCACUAAUCCUUCUGG
rnacentral:lncRNA from 1 species